AGUUUUUUUUUUCUUUUUUUUUGGGAGAAACAUAAAAGAGUAAUAUGUGAUUUUGCAAUGGUUGUUUUAGAUUUGUCAAAAAUAUACCCUACGGUUGGUACCAUUAGCACUAUUGUGCCAAGCCCGGUGCAGCGUUACCAGAUGUUGAUGUGGCAACACCCAACCAACUAAUCAUUUUUUUAAAUUUUACAUAAUUCAGUAAUAGAAAAAAAAAUGAUUGACUGGGCUUUGCCAUGUCAGCACCUAGUAAUGGUGGCACAGAAUGUGGCCCAUUCAUUGUAACUGUGCUGACCACAGAAUACACGUUUUGACAAACUUUAAAACACAGAUCUGAAAGUGUCAAAACUCGAAAAAACAAGGUACUUUUUUGUACUUUUCCCCCUUUUUUCUUUGAAUAUGAUCAAUUGGUCGUGCUGCCAAUGAUGAAUGGAUAACUAAUGACAUUGGCAUUCCUUGAAAAUACAUAUAUAGCCCCAUUUUACCCUAAUUUACUUCAUGUGUUUGCCAGGAUAUUAGCCUCUAUAUGAAG
rnacentral:misc_RNA from 1 species